AUUGAACGCUGGCGGCAGGCCUAACACAUGCAAGUCGAACGAGUGGCGGACGGGUGAGUAAUGUCUGGGAAACUGCCUGAUGGAGGGGGAUAACUACUGGAAACGGUAGCUAAUACCGCAUACCAUCGGAUGUGCCCAGAUGGGAUUAGCUAGUGGGGGGGGUAAAGGCUCACCUGGGCGACGAUCCCUAGCUGGUCUGAGAGGAAGACCGGCCACACGGGAACUGAGACACGGUCCAGACUCCUACGGGAGGCAGCAGUGGGGAAUAUUGCACAAUGGGCGCAAGCCUGAGGCAGCCAUGCCGCGUGUAGGAAGAAGGCCUUCGGGUUGUAAAGUACGUUCAGCGGGGAGGCGUUACCCGCAGAAGAAGCACCGGCUAACUCCGUGCCAGCAGCCGCGGUAAUUC
rnacentral:rRNA from 1 species